CUGUCAGGCUGUGCUUUAUAUUAAUUUUAAUCUACUUGGUCCCUAUUCAAAAUGUUAGUAUGAAUUUUAAUCCAGUUUCUCCUGAAUAAAAUCACUGGAGGAAGGAAGUAAUAUGAUUAUUAGUCCCUGCUUUUGGGCCCUCAAGGAUGGAUCUGGCCCUGCUUUCCAUUUUCUUCUCCCCUCUCUGCUCAUUCCUCUCUUCCUACCCUGCAUCCAUGUCUAAUCUCUGCUCAACAAGGUCCAUUUCCAUCUUAGAACAUGCCCAUGGUAGCUUGGAGAACUCGUUCCUUCAUGAACCAGAGUGUUGCUGGUACUCUUCAAGAGAUGCUUAAUUGACAGCUUCUGAUAAGAAGCCAGCAAUGUUCAAAUAGAGCGGAGGUCUGGUCAGGGAGUUUGCACCCAGGUAUGAAGCCCCCUCAGAUCCUCAGAAAACAUCCCAAAGCCUGGGGCUCAGGGUGGCAUGCUGUGGAGUGUGGAGUGUGAUCCGAGAGGGGCCCUGCCCUAACCCCAGUCAAGAAGAACAGAAUGUUUCUGCCAUAGAGACAGCAGCUUUGCUCUUAGUAUUUCCUGAAUAUUCUGGAGGACUUCUCGUUGGUGGGUUAGUUGAACCAGUAACCCGAUCGUUUUCUCACUCCCAGGGACCGCCUCCCCCUCUGCUCUGCCCGAUGCAUUCAACACAUGUGUUCGCCUGGGAGGCCAGGCAGCACCAGAGCAAUUUACAUUCGGCUUCCCAGCCUGCUGGAGGCAGCGAAUCAGCCUCUGGGAAGGCUUCGGAGACUUGUCAGCAGUCUGUAGCUUAUUUCUGUGUGUGUGAGGGUGCGUGUGUGCGUGUGUGUGUCUAUCUCUCUCUUAACAUUUACAGGCUGAGAUCACUGUGGAGGAACAAGCAAUAGAGUCUUGUCAAGAUUUUAUCUCAGGGUAAUGCUUAGUUGAAAAUGAAAGCCUGAAAUACUGAUUUUCUUCGUGAGAAGAAUUGACUGUUUGAUGUUGAGAACCCCCAGUGUCUGACCGAGGAAAGCUGAGCAGGGCCACUGCAGCCCGCGGCUCUCUGACAGCAGCAGGGGCUGGGUUGAGGCAGCGGCUGCUGGCCUGGGGCGCACCCGUAAAUGGACUUGGGGCUCAAUGCUGUGACUCUUAGUUGUGGCUUUGGAUGUUGGAAUACCGGCGGUGAUCUUCUGUCUCUUAUCAACUCCCCUGAUUUAAAGGAAAGAUGAGUGAAGAACCGAAGGAGAAAAAUGCCAAACCUGCUCACAGGAAAAGGAAAGGGAAAAAGGUAAGAAAUGAAUAAGCAACAUGUAUUGUUCUCUGGCCCUGAGGAGGGAGUGCUCUUUAGGCUGGAUUUUGAAGAGACUUGGGUUUUAAGAAGCUGCUAGAAUCAGAAUGCUUUUUGUUUUUCUGGUCUCUUAAUGGGUGUGUUCAGUGUUGGGGGAAAGCAUCACAACUCAGAGACAUUGCUAAAAUAUUUAAACAGUUAAAU
rnacentral:lncRNA from 1 species